rnacentral:rRNA from 1 species
UACGGAGGGUGCAAACGUUGCUCGGAAUUAUUGGGCGUAAAGCGCACGUAGGCGGCCCGGAAAGUCGGGUGUGAAAUCCCUCGGCUUAACCGAGGAAGUGCAUUCGAAACUUCCGGGCUUGAGUACUGAAGAGGGUCGCGGAAUUCCCGGUGUAGAGGUGAAAUUCGUAGAUAUCGGGAGGAACACCAGUGGCGAAGGCGGCGACCUGGGCAGAUACUGACGCUGAGGUGCGAAAGCGUGGGGAGCAAACAGG